UUCCAAACAGUUGAGACACUUUAAUUUUCAUCAUCCUUCUCAUUGUUUCAGCAAAUGUGGACUAGUUGGCCAUGGAAGAUUGGCAGUGCACAUUAAGAACUGUGUGGCUGCUGGGCACAUGUAUAAAAUGAUGUACUGAAAAUGAAUGACAGAAGAAUAGACUUGUGGAAUAGACUGGGAACAGGACACACUGGCGCAGAGAGACACCAAGUGAAGAGAGCUGAGGAGAGUGAAUGCAGAUUCACUUGCUGAACUUCCAGGCGCUGCAUGCAGGACUCUGCUCCCCUUCUCUUCCACACAGGAGGAGGACACAGAUGACCAUGAACAGGUUCAUUGCUGUUUUUUCUGCAGUCUGUGAAUUGUCUUCCAUCCUGUGCUUCAUUCCAAAUGGACCAGACUCUGGGGAACAGUGCAGACUACUACUUUGUGUUGUCACCUAGUGUGCUGACAGGAUGAAGAAAAGUGUUUG
rnacentral:lncRNA from 1 species